rnacentral:rRNA from 1 species
GACGAACGCUGGCGGCGUGCUUAACACAUGCAAGUCGAACGAAGUGGCGAACGGGUGAGUAACGCGUAAUCAACCUGCCCUUCAGAGGGGGACAACAGUUGGAAACGACUGCUAAUACCGCAUACGGAAGGAGGGGAUUGCGUUUGAUUGGCUAGUUGGAGGGGUAAAGGCCCACCAAGGCGAUGAGCAGUAGGCGGGUUGAGAGGGUGAACGGCCAAAUUGGGAAUGGAGAACGGCCCAAAAUCCUACCGGGGGCAGCAGGGGGGGAACUUCCGCAAAUGGCGGAAGCCUGGAGGAGCAACGCCGGGGGGGUGGAGGCGGCCUUCGGGUUGUAAAGCUCUGUUAAUCGGGACGCGGUACCGAAAUAGAAAGCCACGGCUAACUACGUGCCAGCAGCCGCGGUAAUUC